GUGGCAGCUUCAUGAUAGCUAAGGUUGAGUUGGAGGAGAGGAAGUUGGGGGACUGGGCAGGUUCCAGGAAAGGCGUGAGCCACGAGAUGGAACGAAGCAAGACUUCUAAGACAGGGCAGACUUGAUGGCCAACCUGCACCCGUUCAGGGUCACCACCUGCACAUUGCUAGCUCUCACGGGACACUGUAACACUCAUUACUCCUCCCUGGCCACCACUACUCAGCGCUCACAGAGAGCAAAACACCAUGAAGAUUGUUCCAGGGCACGGAGCUUGGCCCAACUCCACAGAGGACUCCUCAAGGGGUCUCCUGAUCUUUAGACUGAAAAAAGAAGGAAGGGAAGGAGGGAGAAGGAGGCGGACCUGUGUUGGAGUCAAUCCCGGGAAUCCAUCUCUCCAGGUCGCCGAGCCUGAAGCCAUCUCCAAACAGGUCUCUUGGACGUCUCAGGCUGUGCAGGAAGUGCAGCCCCAGCUGGAAGGAGGAGACACGGUGCCUCAGGUGGACACCCAUGCAACCAAUUCGUCCUGGGAAAAAGACAUAAAAUCUCAGAAAUGGCAUAGCCCACCUCUUCCCCAGGGCUGCCAGGCAUGAAAAAUCUUAAGCUCUUGGACACGGGGGUGGGAGGAGCAAAAGCGGGGUUCUUGACACUGCUGAGGAAGCCCCCAGGUGUGGCUGCUACUUACUGCCCUCCAAAGGAAAGAGCAGCGAAGAAGCUGGGGGCUGCAGGCAGAUCCCAGCAGAGAACUGAAGACUGGUUGUAUCCUAGAGAGGGGCUGCAUAACCGCUGAUGUCACCAGAGGAACCUGGAGUCAGCUUCUCUCUCUCCUCUCCCCCUCCCUCCUCCCCUCCCUUCCAUUCCCUCCCUGCUCUGUGUGCACUGGCAAGCACAGGCGUGCUUACACAUGCUCCUGGCAUCUGGAAGCCAGAGGUUGACCUUGGGUGUCUUCUUCAAUCACACUUCUACCUUAUUUUUGUCUUUGUUCUUGUUUUUUGAGACAGGGUCUUACUAUGUAGACCAGACUGGCCUUGAACUCAUAGAGGCAGGCCUGCAUCUGCCUUUUAAGUGCUGGGAUGAAGGUGCUGAAAGUGGGGCUGGAGAGGGGUGCUGUGAUCUACAGCAACAAUGUCAGCCCUGAGGAUGGGCGGUCUCCAGGAGUCCUUGGCAGCAGCCUACUGUGGCCCCCAGCUUUCAUUGAUAUUCCACACCCAGUUACCAAAAAAUUCUAGCCAAGAGUGGGCCAAGGCAUGGGCACUCAAGGCUGGCAACCUGAAUUUGAUUGCCUGAACCUGCGUAAAGGCAACCUUGAACCACAGCCCGGAUGUUCCCAACUUGAGAAGAGCUUUGCUGAGAGAGCCAGGCGGGUGAGUGACAGCUCUAAGACUGGUCCAGA
rnacentral:lncRNA from 1 species